rnacentral:lncRNA from 1 species
UAGCCACUCAAGCUCUCAUAAAAACAAACACUUCCUAGUAUGAGAAAGAUGAGUUGGACACGAAGCAAGGAUCCCUGUAAGAAGAGCUUGUAAGCAAAUUAAUGACUGUAAAAUAAUUUAGUAGCACUGGAAAAAAAUGAAGAGGAGAGCCUACAUGAACAAAAAUG